UACGUAGGGUGCGAGCGUUGUCCGGAAUUAUUGGGCGUAAAGGGCUCGUAGGCGGUUUGUCGCGUCGGGAGUGAAAACCAGGUGCUUAACACCUGGCUUGCUUUCGAUACGGGCAGACUAGAGGUAUUCAGGGGAGAACGGAAUUCCUGGUGUAGCGGUGGAAUGCGCAGAUAUCAGGAGGAACACCGGUGGCGAAGGCGGUUCUCUGGGCCGUAACUGACGCUGAGGAGCGAAAGCGUGGGGAGCGAACAGG
rnacentral:rRNA from 1 species